CCUCAAACUUCCUAUGUGACCCAAGCUGUCUCAAACUCAGGACAAUCCUCCUGUCUCAGCCUUCCCAGCACUGGAAUUAUAGAUGUAUUCCACCACACUCAGCCUUUCUUUGUCUUGACACGUAUAGGAUGACAUCUGUGAGGAAGGCUCUUGAGAUACUGAAUCUGCUGGUUAAUGUUGGACUUCUCAGUCUCCAGAACUAUGCCUGACUUCAUGGAAGGGGAGAAGAGGUGCCAAAGAAGAAAUGAGAGAGAAGAAAAGGCAGUGAACAGCAACUAGAAAUCAUGGAGAAG